UGCCGCCCUUGGGAGUGUUGGUGUCAUUGCCUUCAACCAUCUUGUUCACUUGAUUCAGAGCGGGCUUCAAGAUGUUGUACAGAACCCAUCCGAUGGCAGGUGCCAAGAUGAAGAGAAGAAUCAGGGGUCUGGUAUCAGCACCGAGCUGUGCAAUCUCUUGCACCUGAGCAUCGGCUUCAGGGGCAGCCAACAGUGAGCUUGCAGCUAAGCUGAUUCCGGUGGCUCCGAUGACGCUCUUGAAUCUCUUUCCACCCUUCGUAGGAGUUUUAACAUCGUUGCCCUCGAUGAUCUGGUUAACCUGAUUCAAUGCAGGCCUCAAGAUGUUGAACAGGACCCAUCCAAUCGCUGGAAGAAGGAGGCCAAUGAUGAUCAGUCCCCUGGAGUCUGAGUCGGCAAGAUUGGCAAUCUCCUGAGCGGCGUCGGCAUGAGGGGCCAAAAGCAUAGAUGCUCCUCCGAGGCCGAGGGCUCCAACUACUCCCCUCUUGCGUGAGGAGGAGGCUCCAGUGUUGCCCUGGUUCUGCAUCUUCUCAAACUGGUUCAAAGCUGGGCGCAAGAUGUUGAACAACACCCAUCCGAUGGCAGGCAGAAGAAGACCGAUGAUGAUCAGACCCCUUGCAUCAGACUCCGCGACUUGGGCGAUUUCCUGAGCAGCGUCAGCGUGGGGAGCUGCAAGCAUAGCUAGGGAUCCAAGUCCGGCACCCGCGACCAAAGCCUUGGCGCUCCUCAU
rnacentral:lncRNA from 1 species